rnacentral:rRNA from 1 species
GUAGUCAUAUGCUUGUCUAAAGGAUUAAGCCAUGCAAGUGUAAGUAUAAAUAACUCGUACUUAUGAAACUGCGAACGGCUCAUUAAAACAGCAAUAAUCUAAGUGGAUGAUAGAAGAUCUACAAGGAUAACCGUAGUAAAUCUAGAGCUAAUAUUUGGGUAAAGGGGGGACUUUUAGGAACCUCUGUGAAUAUUAGAUGGAAAAACCAACAUUUGAUGGUGAAUCGAGAUAUUUUGGCUGAGCGUCGGGCAACCGACGCCGAUCCACAUGAGUUUCUGACCUAUCAACUUUCGAUGGGAGUGUAGAGGACUCCCAUGGUAUUAACGGGUAACGGAGAAUUAGGGUUCGAUUCCGGAGAGGGAGCCUGAGAGACGGCUACCACUUCUAAGGAAGGCAGCAGGCGCGCAAAUUACCCCAUCUCGAUUCGAGGAGGUAGGACAAGAAAUAACAAUACGGGACACGAUACGUGUCUUGUAAUUGGAAUGAGUACAAUCUAAAUACAUUAACGAGUAACAAUUGGAGGGCAAGUCUGGUGCCAGCAGCCGCGGUAAUACCAGCUCCAAUAGCGUAUAUUAAUGCUGCUGCAGUUAAAACGCUCGUAGUUGAAGUUUGGGGCUUGCACGGCUAGGUCCUCCUCGAAGGAGUGCACCGGUCGGGCGGUUCUGUAAGGGGGAAUGUGGGGGCAGCUCGUUAACUCGGGCUGCUUCGGGGGAGGGGCAACCUGACUCCGGGGAGGGCUUUGGAAAGGCGGGGUGUAACAGCUCCGACUUGCCAGGGUUCUUCAUCGCUUCCCCAAGUUUACCUUGAAAAAAUUAGAGUGUUCAAAGCAGGGCUUAGGCCUAUUGAAUAAUGCAGCAUGGGAUAAUGGAAAAAGACAGUUGUUCUAUUUUGUUGGUUAUGUGGAGCGAUUGUAAUGAUUAAUGGGGACAGUUGGGGUGGUUUGUAUUGCUGCGUCAGAGGUGAAAUUCUUAGAUUGCAGUAAGACAAACUUCUGCGAAGGCAUUCCACAAGGAUGUUUUCGUCAAUCAAGAACGAAAGUUGGGGGAUCGAAGACGAUCAGAUACCGUCGUAGUCUCAACUGUAAACGAUGCCGACUGAGGAUUAGGAAAAGUUUUUUUCACAUGACUCUCCUAGCACUCUACGAGAAAUCAAGAGUCUUUGGGUUCCGGGGGGAGUAUGGUCGCAAGGCUGAAACUUAAAGGAAUUGACGGAAGGGCACCACCAGGCGUGGAGCCUGCGGCUUAAUUUGACCCAACACGGGGAAACUUACCAGGUCCAGACAGCGUAAGGAUUGACAGAUUGAGAGCUCUUUCAUGAUUCGUUGGGUGGUGGUGCAUGGCCGUUCUUAGUUGGUGGUGUGAAUUGUCUGGUUGAUUCCGCUAACGAACGAGACCUUAACCGAACACUAGCAACUACGACUUAUUGCGCAAAGGCGGUGAGGGCCUUUUUCCAGAAGGAUCCGUUCCCUGGGGGAAGUGCUCCUUGCCGUUGCAUUGGUAGUAGGAUUA